rnacentral:rRNA from 2 species
UUUAAUGAGAGUUUGAUCCUGGCUCAGGACGAACGCUGGCGGCGUGCCUAAUACAUGCAAGUAGAACGCUGAGGUUUGGUGUUUACACUAGACUGAUGAGUUGCGAACGGGUGAGUAACGCGUAGGUAACCUGCCUCAUAGCGGGGGAUAACUAUUGGAAACGAUAGCUAAUACCGCAUAAGAGUAAUUAACACAUGUUAGUUAUUUAAAAGGAGCAAUUGCUUCACUGUGAGAUGGACCUGCGUUGUAUUAGCUAGUUGGUGAGGUAAAGGCUCACCAAGGCGACGAUACAUAGCCGACCUGAGAGGGUGAUCGGCCACACUGGGACUGAGAC